AAGGGCUAAGGAAGCCUGCAAACAACCUCACUGGGAAAUGACACACUGAACAAAUAGAUAUUACUAUGGGGGAAGGCUUUUCUGUUUGUUUGUUUAAUUUUCCAUCUAUUCAACGGAAAGAAAGGGAACAAAAGAAGUCCAGAGAGAAUGUGCAAAUGAUAGGCCAAAGUGGCAUGUUGUGCAUCAGCAGCAGCAGCAGCAGCAACAACAACAACAAGAACAAGAACAAGAAGUCUGAAUUUUUCCCAGGAAUAUUGCACAUGGGACAUGAUACAACUAUCAGAGUUGGGACUAUCACCAGUAAAGACAUGUCUACUGGCAAAAUGAAGCAACUGGUCAAACAGCCUCAUGCUACCACACUCAAGCACAAGUAAAGGGAUGUGUACAGGCUGAAAUCCAUGUUUGCACACAUUGGAGCUACACGACACACAGUGUUGUAGAUGCAUUACCCUUGAUACAAUACAGUGUUGUAGAUACAUACCCUUACACAACCCAGCACGGUGUGUGUGUUUCAGACACAACCUCUCUACACAGCAUAGCACAGUGUUGUACACACAUAUUCUCUACAUAACACAGUGUUGUAGAUACAUACUCUCCACAUGACAUGGCACAGUGGGUCAGGACAAAGAAAGUGACAUUUGCAGCAGGAUGAAGAGAGGUGUUGGGCCAUAUGCUUGUUACCUAUCUCAUCCUCACUGAAUAUGUAUGUGUAUAUAUAUAUACAUAUAUAUAUAUAUAUAAUGGAUAUUUUAAUACCUCUUUCCAGUUCUGUCACUCCUUCUGCCAGUUUCAAAAGUCAUAUAAUCUGGAGCUGGAGCAACGACUCAGCGAUCAAGAGUACUUAUUGCUCUUGCAGGGAACAAAGAAUUAGUGCUUGAUCCACAUCUGACAGUCUAUGUCUGCAAUUACAUCUUACAAUAUCUCAAGUGUUGCACAUGUGGAGAUGGUCUCAUGUCUUUUCAAUAGGUGAAGUAGGAUUUAAUGGUUCUUUGUAAACUUGAAGCUCAUUAAGUACUUUAAGAAACCAUGCAAGUCUAUGAUAAAAACCACUAUGCCCUUCACCCACAAUAGGAAAGGUCUAACCCAUUGCGGGUGAUGCCACUCACGGGUUGGUGGUCCUGGGUUGUAUAGGAAAGCAGGCUAGAAAUGCCAUGUGGAGCAAGGCAGUCAGUAGCAUGCCACUAUGGCCUCUGUAUCAGCUCCUGCCUCCAGGUUCCUGCCCUGUUUGAGUUCCUGUCCUGGCUUCCUUUGAUGCUGAGCAGCUAUAAGGAGUGGUAAAUCAUUUGAACCCUUUACUCCCCAACUUGCUUUUUGGUCAUAGUGUUUUUUUCACAGUAAUAGUACUCCUAACAUAGGGUUUCUCUAUAUAGUACUGGCUGUCCUGGUACUCACUAUGUAGACCAAGCUGGCCUUGAAUGCACAGAGAUCCUUCCGAAGGCUGAUGUUAAAGGCAUGUACUAUCGUGUUCAACAAGGAUUACAAUAUUAAUAGUCUAUCAUUAGAACAUGGUGGGUCCUAUGUAACAUUGAGACUUCAAUGCAAGGUUGAAGAAAACCUGCUCACAGUGAUAUGCAGAGGAAGAUUGCGUUUAGGGUUAAGUAAAAGUUAAUGACCAAGAUGUGGGUGGCAAUUACAGAGGAGACAGCAGAGAGUAGAAACACAGGGACACAUGGAAAAUGUUAGCCAUAUGGUACCAAACAGAGGAGCUGUCUUAUUCCCAGAGUUUCCUAAAUCUAACAAAGUCCAUUUGUUUUUGUACAUUUCUAUGUAACUGGUGUGCAUGGGGGUUUCCUGUUCUUUUGUUGUUGUCGAACGUGUACCUGUGUGUGUGUGUGUGUGUGUAGCUGCUCUGAGUCAAUUACUUCUAUUUGUAAUCGAAAUCUUGCUAAGUCACUGUUUUAAACUGUUAUCUAUCUUUUCAUAAAUUUCUAUUUUUCAAAUACAAAUCAAGUUAAAAUGAAUGAUCUGUUGUGGUGCUGAGUGGCAGCCACCGUAAAUUAACGUAUAGGCCUGAAUCUGUACCAAUGAUAUUCUAUCAAGCAUGCUGGAGUUAAGAAUGCAGCUACAUUUGCACCCCCGUACAGAAGUUUUAGAUGGCAUUGUUUUGCUGUGACUGACAUGUCCUACGGUUCCAGCCACAAUAUUAGCACCAAGAUUUUCACCAGCUCCUUAACGUGCUCUUCACUGGAUGUCAAAUUGUUUUAGAAAAGGAGGUUUGGAUUAAAAAAGGUACUAAGAGGGAAAAUAGAGGUCAUGGAAAAUGGCAAAUAUUGUGAUAUGUGUAUGCGUGUGCGUGCGUGUGUGUGUGUGUGUGUGUGUGUGUGUGUGUGUGUGAUGGAUAUGGAAACUUAGUACUAAAAGACAAAUACUCUCUACAGGGAGUUAAAAAAGAACAUCCAUAUGGUUAUUUUAAAAUAGUCAUUAAAAUGCUCAAAGAUAAUAACUUUGUUAAAACAACUUGUGUUAGAAUAAUUAUUAGUUUUAAAGGCAUUGUUGUCUAAUUAACUAAAACAUUUCCAUUUGAGUGUAAAAUAAAUUUGCAGGUAAUUUAAAAAUCCUCCAUGCAUACUGUAGACAGAUAGCCUUUCCUUCACCUUAUAUUUUACAUCCUCUGUGCUGUUUAAACACUGGUGUUACCACCACCUGCCCUACCUCUCCUUAGUCCUGGCAUAUUCCACCUCUAAAGUCAUCAGUGGGGACCAUACCAGUUAUUUGUUACAUGUAAUAAACAUACUCCAUGUAAGUAACGAAUGUCCAGUCAAUGAGACUAAAAGCACCAGCAGGAAGAGACAUUGCCUUUGCUCUGCCACUGCAUGCAUCUCUUUGAGAAGCAUGGUGUGAGGGAGAAAGUAACGUUGUCUCUGAUAUGGUUUAGCCUGCACCAAAUUCCAUGAUUCAUAAACUGAACUAAGACGUAGCUCAUGACAUAAAGUGGUACAGCUCACCAAGAGAUGAUUUCUCUCCAGAAUCUCUGCUUUCCCGUGAUCAUUUCCUUUGAGAUUAGUGACCCAUCAAAGAGUGGGGCAAAGUAAAAAGAGCGGGAGGCAGGCAGAUGAGCACUGGGUUUUUAUUAGCAGAAUGCUCAGCAAGCCCCAUUGAUUUCUGAAGUCUCGACCUUUCUAAGAGUGCAAGUUAUUCAGAAGCAGGGAGAAAGUUAAUGGAAAUAUCAACUUGCCUCUCUCCCCGUCUCCCUGAACAGCUCACUGAUUAGAGGCAGAGGCCAUUGAGAGGCAGCUGCCAAUGCGUGUGGGAGGGUGGGUAUGUUUGCUUUGCUAAGGUCUAGUAUCUAUGUGGCCCCGUUCCUCUGUCUCCUCUUCAUAGACUGUAGGGAUUGGGGGUGGGGUAUUAAUAAAGUUUCAUCCAAAGAAUGAAAAGGGACAAAGGAUGAAGAGACAGAGGAAAACGUAAGCAUAAGAUGGGAGAGAAAGGCUUUCACAUUCCCUCCCACCAGCCAUACUUUCUAUAUCUUUGCUGCAUACUUCUGGGCUCUAUUGGGACAUAGUUAUGUAAAGAGUGAAAGAAUACUUGCUACAAUAUGGAGACCAUAUUGCUCUUGAUUACUAGACAGAGAUAGGAAGGGAAAGGGUGAAAACACAGCUAUAACAAGGUAUCAAGGCACUUUUAAAUAUUUGCAAUGGGGUGUGGACUUGUAACACCUUUGUUGAAAAUGAUAACACAGGACGCAUGUUUGGCGCAUGUUCCUGGGUUUCCACUGCUCAUUGAGGUUUGCUUGGGGACACCAUUGUAGAAUUUGUUUCAGAGUACUAUUAGAGACAUACGUUUUAAAAUUUGUAGCAAAUAGGAUUAUAUUUGGCAACAAGAAUGCUUGUUCCAAAUUCCAACCCCAAACUGUACCUUGGGUCUCCUCCCCCACCCUGUGGUUAGGACCUCACAUACUACAGGGUGUCCUCUCUUUCCAGGGUCUCCAUCCUGCCCAGACAAGACGGUCUCUGAUUACUCGGGUUGGAAAGUAGGAAAGAGUGGAGAUAAAAGGAAAGUUUGGGUUUUGUUGUUUGUUUGUUUGUUUCUAUUUCCCCAUCAGUUGGGAUCAUAAGAUAGCAUCCCACAGUAAGGGCGUGGCAGAUGCUGGAAAGUACAACAGGCCAUUCUGUGGAUUCAGCAGCAGCAGCCCUGCUGGGCCUGUGGCUGUAACUCCUGGGACUCAGGCGUGAUCCCGUACUCCAAGUGCUGCUGCUUAAUCAGACUCCCACCAAACUCUUGGGUUUCUAGUGAUCUAGUCCUACAAACCCUUACUAUUGGGAUCAAUCCACAGAUGCUCUUGAGCAGAAGGGUUAAAAGGAAAAGGUUCAAGGCUAGCUCUCUAUCUUCCUUUCUAUCUUUUCAACCUAGGAUUUGACUAGGUAACCCAUAUUGUGUUAAUGAAGAAACAUACUGAGUAACUCUGAAACAUGGUACAAGAGCCAAACAAAACUCAGGUGAGUCUCCUUAGAAUGAGACCCCCAUUUGUGUCAUGAAACUUGACAGUUCCCUUAUUUAUCUGUCCUUAUCCAUGACACUGGGAGUUCCAAACUCUUGUCAAAUCAUGUUGUCUGUCACAGGUCAUAGUGAAGCCUCACUGUAAUAUGCUCAAGGAAGUUAUAUAGGAUAUACAGAAGAGGAGAGAGAGAGAGAGAGAGAGAGAGAGAAUUACGUUUCUGCUCUUUUCUUUCAAAAUAGAAGGGUGUGUGUCACGCGUGCGUAUGCACACACACACACACACACACACACACACACACCCCACCUCAAGCAGCAAACAUUUAAGACAAUUUUCAGAAUUGCAACUGCUAUUACUGAACAGCAAUAGCAUUCAUAGUGACACGACACCUGUGACAACAAAUGUAAAUAAAAACAAACAAAAGCUGUGCGCAGUCGGCGACUCCACCAUGAUCAUGGCAUGACUCUCACUGGAGGUUUCAGAAGGACCCAAAUGACUCCUAACCAUGUCACCGCGUUGGUGAUACUCACGACAAAGACCACAUUCCAUCUCAGACACAUCAGAUCUGUGGGUAUCAAUCACCCUGUGCAAACCAAACUGAUCUUCAUGUUGGUACAGAAGACCAAGUGGAGACCUUCUUUGCCAUUCCAUGUUACGAUGUGGGUAUGCUUGACUGAAUCGCUUUCAGAAAAGCAAUGGGUGGCUCAUCUGUGACAACAUGUUUGCGGACUAACACAUUCAGAAGAACAACAGAAUAAUGAGCUAAUGUAACAAGUCCCAGGUGGAAUUUAUCGACAACUGUUGACCUAAGCUAUCAUAACUGUUCUUCCUACUACAAGAAGGUAUGUCUAACAGUCUUGCCACCCACAGACCAAGGUGUAAGGAGUGGGGGAGGAGGAUGUCUCAGUGAAAGUCCAUAAUGAGGGACCAUUAAUCUUAACUCCUCCCUAGCCUGUGUCAUUGUCAUUUGCUCCUGAGGACUUCUUGUCACUUCACAAACAGAUGCACUCAGUUGGCUGGGUGGACUGCCUCUCUCUCGCUGUGGGCUGACAUGCUCCACACUCCAGUGCUCUGAGACAGCCCCUUCCCAUAAACACUUCAGGGAUUUGUCAUCCCCCGCCACCAAAGAUCAGUCCCUGGACAACUUUAUCUCUCUGACCAACAGUCUCAUCCCACUCUCUCUCUCUCCUCUCUCCUCUAAGACUCACUUCUAGCUUCUCCAUUACAUCUCAGACCUCCAAAUAUAAAUGAACUCAUUGGUGCCAAGGCUCACGGGGUUUCUGAAGAAAAAGAGAUUGUCGAUUCUUUGUUUUUGUUUUGUUUGUGUCAUUGGGUGGGGUCUCCUUUUGACUUUGUUUACUUUGUCCUGAUUGCUUAAUGUUUACAAAAUAAUGCUGAUUUUUCUCUGGAAAAUAAAAUCAUUUAUCUGUCUCG